CUCCCGCUGCCUCCAGGGGAGCGCCACCUCCAAGGGAUAUUCCGGUCCUCCCCAGUGUUAGGGGAGAGAAGGAAUACACGGGGGAAGAGCAUAUGGAGGCGCGGUCCCGGAUCAGGCACCUGGUGCGGAGCUCAAUCGGGAGGCUGAACUUCAAGGAGGGGAGAUGUGAUCCCGGAUGAAACGCCUAGAGCGGAGUUCCGCCGGGGAGACCCUCCUUGCUGAUCCCAGAUGAAACGGCUAGUUGGCUGAAGUCGCGAGGGGCGCGCCUCUCGUUCCUUCGGCAGGAGUCUCUCAGCCAUGCGCCAGAGAGAAGGUCCACGAUCCAUGGCAACUUGAACAGCUCCGGCUUGGCAAACUCCAUCGCACCUGCACCUAUAUUUAUAGCCAAGCUGCGGCCCCCCGGUCGUUCCGAUGCGGGUGGCUCCAAUAAAUGCGGGCGCAUUGAAUCCGGAGCCGAUCCGGCUCUCGAGGCGUAUCUUCCCGCGAUUUCCUAAGCGUUAUUCUCCUUAAUCGCAUUCUUUGUGCAGGACACUCUGGGUUGCACGUACCCCUAGGUCCACAUAUCUCCGCUCGCGCCCAGGCCGCAUCCGCCUCGAAGAACGCGCGUAUCGCGGCCGCUUAACUGACACUCCUCGCAAGCAGCAACUGACGAUCCGAUUUUCCAGGUAACCCCUCAAUUAGCAUUUAAU
rnacentral:lncRNA from 1 species